rnacentral:tRNA from 1 species
GGGGAUAUAACUCAGUUGGUAGAGUGCUUGCCUUGCAUGCACAAGGCCCUGGGUUCAAUUCCCAUCACCA